rnacentral:rRNA from 1 species
GAUGAACGCUAGCGGCAGGCCUAAUACAUGCAAGUCGAACGAGAUUAAGAGGCUUGCUUCUUAUGAAAGUGGCGCACGGGUGCGUAACGCGUAUGCAACCUACCUUAAUCAGGGGGAUAGCCCGAAGAAAUUCGGAUUAAGACCGCAUAAAAACACAGGAUAGCAUUAUCCAAUGUUCAAAUAUUUAUAGGAUUAAGAUGGGCAUGCGUGUCAUUAGCUAGUUGGCGGGGUAACGGCCCACCAAGGCGACGAUGACUAGGGGAUCUGAGAGGAUGACCCCCCAAACUGGUACUGAGACACGGACCAGAAUCCUACGGGAGGCAGCAGUAAGGAAUAUUGGUCAAUGGAGGGAACUCUGAACCAGCCAUGCCGCGUGCAGGAAGACAGCCCUCUGGGUCGUAAACUGCUUUUAUUCGGGAAUAAACCUUUCUACGUGUAGGAAGCUGAAUGUACCGAAGGAAUAAGGAUCGGCUAACUCCGUG